UUUUUUUUUUUUUUUUUUUUUAAGAAAAAUGGAUGAACCAAGAUUUCCAACAACAAGAGAGACAAAUUAGAAUUUCCAGUAACAGAAGAUGAACCAACAUUUUUCCUCCAAUGAGAAGGAUGACCAAAAAAAUUCUCCUAGCAACAAGAAGGAAAAUCAAAAUUUUUAGUCUCAAUAAAAUUAUCGAGGUAAUGAUAAAAAAAAUGUAAUGCAAGGUUUUUCUUCUAGUGUUUGGCAAAACCUUAGGCUUUCAAGAUUUUUUGUUUAAAAUUAAAGCACUCUAAAAGUAGAAGUAUUUUAGGGUCUAAAAGUUCUUUUGUAUGAAAAAAGCUUUAGGGGAAAGGUUUUGGAAUUUAAAGCUUUUAAAUUGCCAUGAAUAUGUAAACAAUGGGAGAAGAGCUUUUCCAUUGAUUUGCUAUUCAAGUUGGGCAUAGAGAAGUGUUUUUUAAUUUUUUCUGCAUGAAAUGUUCAAGUUGUUUCUAUGUGUAGAUUAUAAUAUAUUAUCUCCCAAAGUCAUGUGUCUCGUAAAAAGCAUUCUCAUGUAGGUGAUUUUUUAUUUUUUAUUUUUUUAUGAGAAUUAAUGGAGUUAUUAUGUUUGGAGUUGGAGUUCCUUUUUUUACUUUAUUUGUUUGUUUUAUAGACACUACAAAAUGAGGGCAUGGCAAAUUUUUCUUGUUGCUUAAUUCAUUCAUCAACCAAAAAGAUUUUUAGAAUCUCUUAAAUCUAAAAAGGAGUGCUCUACCAUUCUUGGUUGAGUUAGAAAACAAUGUUCUAGUCUAAUAAUAUUCUGUUAGGCAACCAUUUGGUCUCUUUCCCUUUUAGGUUUCUUUCUUUUUUGUGUUCUUGAAUAGUAUCUCUACUUUAAUGCAACUAAUAAUGAGAAAUUGUAAUAUUUGUUGUAGGGAACAUUGGCUGAUAUAUUUCUAAGGGGCACCAAUUUCAUGACAGAUACUUGAGGGAUGACAUCUUUGGUCAUCUUUUUGGAAAAUUAACAUUGUAGUUGGAUAAGCUAGCAUGAAGGAGUAUGUUGAAGACCAAAGCACAAUUGGGUUACAUGUAAAGAAAAAAUGGACUAAGUUAAGGGACUAAACAUUAAAGUUGUGACUUUUUUUUUUGUUAUUUUAAUCUAUUUUAGCUUUUUUGUUUUUCUUAUUUAUGAAA